rnacentral:rRNA from 1 species
CGGGGGGAGCAAGCGUUGUUCGGAUUUACUGGGCGUAAAGGGCGCGUAGGCGGCCACCGCAAGUCGACUGUGAAAUCUCCGGGCUUAACCCGGAAAGGUCAGCCGAUACUGCGGGGCUAGAGUGCAGAAGGGGCAACUGGAAUUCUCGGUGUAGCGGUGAAAUGCGUAGAUAUCGAGAGGAACACCUGCGGCGAAGGCAGGUUGCUGGGCUGACACUGACGCUGAUGCGCGAAAGCUAGGGGAGCGAACGGGAUUAGAUACCCCGGUAGUCCUAGCCUUAAACGAUGAAUGCUUGGUGUCUGGGGUUUUAUAGUCCCCGGGUGCCGUCGCUAACGCUUUAAGCAUUCCGCCUGGGGAGUACGGUCGCAAGACUG